rnacentral:rRNA from 1 species
UYUUCGGCCGUUUGAUGUUUCCGUCGCCGUGUCGGACGUCGCGACCUGUUCGCGGUCGGUCCUUGCUCGGAAGAAUCGCGAUCGAGUUCGUUGCGCGMCGCGUUUYGGCGCGGCGUGCGACGAAGACGCGACUUUCUGGCCGACGGCGGACAGUAGGCAACGGUGUCCGGCGUCGUGUCUCGUACUCGGCGUCGGUUCCGGUCUGCGACGAUUUCUUCGGGCCUCUUUCCGACCCGUCUUGAAACACGGACCAAGGAGUCUAACAUGCGCGCGAGUCGCGGGGUUUCGAGCGUGCCACUGGUGCGCUCGUUACUAGCGAAACCCGUAGGUUGAAGGCGUAAUGAAAGUGAAUGGGGAAGAUGGCGUUCCGAGUCCACGUACCGUGAUCGUGUGUCGCGGCCGGACGUCCGCACUCCCGGGGCGUCUCAAUGGCUCGUCGCGGACGCGGACGGUCGUCUUUCGGGGCGGUCGUCGGUCUGCGUCGGACCGAGGCGCACCUAUAGCGUGCACGUUGGUACCCGAAAGAUGGUGAACUA